UGAGGUUCAAAAGCUGAUCAAGAGUGGUAUGGUGUCCUUUGAGGACUGAGCGCAGAAUGUUAAAGCUAACUCGUUGCCUGCUCAUGGCAACGCUUCUAUGAACAUGGUAGACGGUUGUCCUGGUAAUUUCAUGGUCUUUGAUGUGCGCCGUAUUCGUAGGUACUCGGUAGAUAUUCACAAAGACUUGUUCCUGGUAAGCCAUUGCGAACAUGACCAUGAUGGUUAUGUUAUUUGCAGUGUUAACCCUCGAGGGUGCAUAAUUGUUAAAAGGGAU
rnacentral:lncRNA from 1 species